UGGCUUUUCUGAUUCUGAAUCGCAUGUGCACGUCCCCUCACCUUUUCUUCCUUAUCUAUAUCCUUUAUAGAUCCCCUAGAAAGCUCAGGCCUCAGGCUCUGAGCUUUGCAAGGAUCUAUAUGUUUUCAUCACAUCACACAUGUCGUAUGGCUAGAAUGAAAUCAUAAUAUACAUAUAUACAACUUUCAGCAACGGAUCUCUUGGCUCUCGCAUCGAUGAAGAACGCAGCGAAUUGCGAUAAGUAAUGUGAAUUGCAGAUUUCCAGUGAAUCAUCGAAUCUUUGAACGCAUCUUGCGCUCCUUGGUAUUCCGAGGAGCAUGCCUGUUUGAGUGUCAUUGAAUUCUCAAUCAUCUUCUCUUUCUUGGGGGGAGGGGGGAUGGCUUGGAGUUGGGGGUUGCUGGCAGGGGAAAACCCGUCAGCUCUCCUUAAAUGCAUCAGCAAUCAAGUUGGCUAGUCUUUCGACGUGCACGGCUUUGGACGUGAUAAUGAUCGUCAUGGCUGGAGCGUCUUCUAGUUCAUCAGAUAGCUUCUAAUCUCGAGAGGAAGAGA
rnacentral:misc_RNA from 1 species